rnacentral:rRNA from 1 species
UACCAGCACCCCGAGUGGUCGGGACGUUUAUUGGGCCUAAAGCAUCCGUAGCCGGUUCUACAAGUCUUCCGUUAAAUCCACCUGCUUAACAGAUGGGCUGCGGAAGAUACUACAGAGCUAGGAGGCGGGAGAGGCAAGCGGUACUCGAUGGGUAGGGGUAAAAUCCGUUGAUCCAUUGAAGACCACCAGUGGCGAAGGCGGCUUGCCAGAACGCGCUCGACGGUGAGGGAUGAAAGCUGGGGGAGCAAACCGG